rnacentral:lncRNA from 1 species
UGGUAUGAAUUCACAAAUCAUUUAUAAUGAAUCCUAACGAUCUCCUUGCCACUUCAUUAGGACCUUGAGGCAACCAUCUAACUUCAUUAGAUAUUUGAAUACUACCUUCGUUAAGAAGCUGUGCAAUCUAUUUACAUAUGAGAAAUAUUAUUAUAAGGAUUAAAUUAUAAUUACAAAUCUCAGUAAAGAGAGAAAUGUCCAUUAGAUUUUAUCUAACUUGAUACAAU